GAAAGCCGUAUGAGGGAAAAUCUCACGUACGGUUUGAUGAGGAGGUUCUGGCAGAGGUAUAACCAAAGCCAGAACUUUACUCUAC
rnacentral:ncRNA from 1 species